rnacentral:rRNA from 1 species
UUAAAUUGAAGAGUUUGAUCAUGGCUCAGAUUGAACGCUGGCGGCAGGCCUAACACAUGCAAGUCGAACGGUAACAGAAAGAAGCU